GACGAACGCUGGCGGCGUGCUUAACACAUGCAAGUCGAGCGGUAAGGCCCUUUCGGGGGUACACGAGCGGCGAACGGGUGAGUAACACGUGGGUGACCUGCCCUCAGCUCUGGGAUAAGCCUGGGAAACUGGGUCUAAUACCGGAUAUGACUUCACAUCGCAUGGUGUGUUGUGGAAAGUUUUUUCGGCUGGGGAUGGGCCCGCGGCCUAUCAGCUUGUUGGUGGGGUGAUGGCCACCAAGGCGACGACGGGUAGCCGGCCUGAGAGGGCGACCGGCCACACUGGGACUGAGACACGGCCCAGACUCCUACGGGAGGCAGCAGGCGGGGAAUAGUGCGCAAUGGGCGGAAGCCUGACGCAGCGACGCCGCGUGGGGAUGACGGCC
rnacentral:rRNA from 1 species